CGUCUCUUCUUCCUCUAUCUUUUCUUCUCCGUCUCUGCUGUCUCUCUAAUCUCUCUCUCUCCUUCUUUCAAUUGGAUUCUUGAACUCAUCUUCCCCAUCCACAACCAUGACUGAGGUAGAGAGAGGAGAACUCAACUUGUUAAUUUGAAAUUGAUCUGAAGUCUUGUAGAGAGAAGAGAAAUCUUCGAAGCUGAGACCGGCGUUUCCAGGUUGGAUGUAGGACUCGACGGUGGACAUGACAAAGAGCUCAAGUAGUUUCUCUGGUUGCUGCAGGGCACAAGGAUGGGAACGUUGGAUUUUGGAAUCUUGACUGUCAGAACGAGGAAGAGGAUGGUGGUGUAUCUCUGUUCAAGCCUCACACUUAUUCAGUUACAUCUCUUGUCUUUCAACAAAACUCUUUCUCAAAGGUUGCAACUACUUUGGUCAGCUUCUUCGAGACUUGCAACGCUGAUCCAAGUCAUUGGGAGAAAAUCUCUGAUGGAGGGCUUGAGCGAAUCUAUGAAAGGUACACAUGGAAGAAGUACUCAGAGAGGCUGCUUACGCUAGCUGGUGUCUAUUCAUUCUGGAAACAUGUGUCUAAGCUUGAAAGGAGAGAAACACGACGUUAUCUAGAGAUGUUUUACUCUCUGAAGUUCCGGGAUCUGGUCAGUGUAAUUCACUCUUCCUUCUUUCAGUUUCUUCGCUUAGUUUACUUGUAUGAUCAUAUUACUACUUGCUGACUCCCUGUUGUUUUUCUGUUUAUGUUGUCUUUGAAUAAAAAGCUAUUGUCAGCUUUUGUUGAUAUGAAUAACAAGUACUAACGUAAGCAUCGUGUCUUAACAUACCCAACGAAUUUCCCACCGCUUUGUUAUCUUGAUUCUCUCAUUCUUUUGGCUUAAUAGCAAACUCAUAACACUUCACUUAGCAAAAUCAUGAUACUUCUAACACUUUCAAGAAAACAAUGUUUAAUAAUUUUUUUUUGUUUUAAGAAACCUUAAUUAAAAACUAGCAUUGGAGCACAAAAAUGUUGGUGUCUUUUAAAAGAAUCUUUAAGAUACAUUUAUUGUUUAAAAGUAAUAUAAUAUAAAUAAGAGAUCCUAAUUGGGUAUUGAGGAUAAUGAUGCUCUUACAGCUAAGUGUCACCAUCAAAUAUGUUAAGAAAAAUCAAAAAGACAAUUUUAUGGAAGCCAUAUCGUGUAAAGCUAAAAUGCAAAUGUCAAUAGCUUCGUGAAAAAAA